rnacentral:lncRNA from 1 species
UGUUUCAGGCAAAUGAUUGGUUGAAAUUUAAUUGUGAAGUUAAAUUUUCUUGUUUUCUUCUGAAUUUUCUUAUUGUGACGUCAUAAAAAAAUGACGACCAUACUUGAUGACGUCACAUCAAAAGUACACAACGUUCCUAAAAUCUUUUAAAAGGAAGGAUAAAAAUCAUGAGAGAAACAUAUUCCACCACUGUAACUAGUGUAUUACGAUAUUUCUCCACUCUCAACAGUUAAAUUUUAAUUAUUCAAAAAGCUCGACAAGCCUCGCGCUUUAAAUGUUAAAUUUCUACUGUCUCGAGUGGAGAAAUAUCGUAAUACACUUGUUGCAGUUGUGGAAUCUAUACAUAUAUUUUUUAUGUAAUAUAAUAACAGUUGAUGCGAAUUUGUAUUAUGCAUGCAAUUAUUUACAUUAAACAAAUCUGUUACAUAUAUUUAUGUAUACUAUAAUAAAAAAAAUCUUUAUUCAAUCUAUUGCAUGUGUUUUCUUACCGUAAUUAAAUCCA